rnacentral:snoRNA from 1 species
AACCCAUGGUGAGGGUACCUUCUCAAUAAAUACUUAUACCUCUCCCACGCAUCAUAUAAUGUCUCUAAAUCGACCUGCACAAAGAAAGCGAUGUCGUUCCUCAACUU